rnacentral:rRNA from 1 species
CAGCAGCCGCGGGAAUACGGAGGGGGCUAGCGUUGUUCGGAAUUACUGGGCGUAAAGCGCACGUAGGCGGCUUGGUAAGUUAGAGGUGAAAGCCCGGAGCUCAACUCCGGAAUUGCCUUUAAGACUGCCGAGCUAGUAGGUGAGAGAGGUAAGUGGAAUUCCGAGUGUAGAGGUGAAAUUCGUAGAUAUUCGGAAGAACACCAGUGGCGAAGGCGGCUUACUGGCUCAUUCUAGACGCUGAGGUGCGAAAGCGUGGGGAGCAAACAGGAUUAGAUACCCCUGUAGUCCCUGUCUCUUAUAC